rnacentral:rRNA from 1 species
UAGGGAAUCUUCGGCAAUGGACGAAAGUCUGACCGAGCAACGCCGCGUGAGUGAAGAAGGUUUUCGGAUCGUAAAACUCUGUUGUUAGAGAAGAACAAGGACGUUAGUAACUGAACGUCCCCUGACGGUAUCUAACCAGAAAGCCACGGCUAACUACGUGCCAGCAGCCGCGGUAAUACGUAGGUGGCAAGCGUUGUCCGGAUUUAUUGGGCGUAAAGCGAGCGCAGGCGGUUUCUUAAGUCUGAUGUGAAAGCCCCCGGCUCAACCGGGGAGGGUCAUUGGAAACUGGUAUACUUGAGUGCAGAAGAGGAGAGUGGAAUUCCAUGUGUAGCGGUGCAAUGCGUAGAUAUAUGGAGGAACACCAGUGGCGAAGGCGGCUCUCUGGUCUGUAACUGACGCUGAGGCUCGAAAGCGUGGGGAGCAAACAGG